AAAACCCACACACUGUACGUGUGUGGAUCGACCAGGAACAAGAAAAACAAGGGCUCACCCUUGUUCUCACCAAAUUCACCAAAUUGACAAGGGAAAAUCGAUGAUUAUCAAUUGCAUGUGGUAGAAUUUCGAUCAGUUACCCAUAUCCAAUCAAGUGGCGUGAAGGAAGAAGGCUCAAGUGCUAAGAAAACGGAAGGUUCACAAGAUCGAGGUAAAUCCUCGACUUAGGCAAUUGGACGACUUGGAACGUGCACACAUGGUUUACGCCCGCUUCUCGCUUCCGUUGUUAAACCCUUUUUGAAUGGUCUAAGUCUUGGUCUUAUGUUAUUAAGCCUAGUUAGUAUGUUGUCAUUUUGUCGUAGGGUAAAAAUUUGUUAGAUGGAAAUCAUGUCGUGAUCAAUGUGGACUUGUUUGUUCGUUUUGGGUUUCUGUCAAAGAUGUUUAAUGUUUAAGUUUGGUUUGUAAAACAGGUGGUUUAUGAUGUUAAACGAAUAGGUCAUGUCGAAAUUUCAAAAAUAUUUUCCUACUUA